rnacentral:rRNA from 1 species
CCUACGGGAGGCAGCAGUGAGGAAUAUUGGUCAAUGGACGAGAGUCUGAACCAGCCAAGUAGCGUGAAGGAUGACUGCCCUAUGGGUUGUAAACUUCUUUUAUAUGGGAAUAAAAUGUUCCACGUGUGGGAUUUUGUAUGUACCAUAUGAAUAAGGAUCGGCUAACUCCGUGCCAGCAGCCGCGGUAAUACGGAGGAUCCGAGCGUUAUCCGGAUUGAUUGGGUUAAAAGGGAGCGUAGGUGGAUUGUUAAGUCAGUUUUGAAAGUUUGCGGCUCAACCGUGAAAUUGAUGUUGAAACUGGCAGUCUUGAGUACAGUAGAGGUGGGCGGAAUUCGUGGUGUAGCGGUGAAAUGCUUAGAUAUCACGAAGAACUCCGAUUGCGAAGGCAGGUCACUGGACUGCAACUGACACUGAGGCUCGAAAGUAUGGGUAUCAAACAGGAUUAGAUACCCGGGUAGUC